AUCCUGGUGUUUGUUUUUGUGCGAGCUGCUGCGCGUGGUGACGGUGUUGGAGGUCUCCUCCUGCUCCUCGUCUUCUUUCGCCUUCAGGGCUUCGCUGAAGAACUUGAAGAUGGAUCUGAAACUCAUCCAGGAGACCCAAUCAAUUCUGCAGCGCUCUCCCGCUCACCCUGAACUGGCUGUGAACUCCCCAGAACGCCGACAGCCUCUCCUCCCUAUCCUGUCGCACUUGGGGGUCACGAUGGGGGUGUCCAUGUGCCAAUAUGCAGAUGAGCCCGUACCCCUCCGAUGACUCCUGUGCUAUGCUCCACCCAUCUCUACAGGGUUGGGCCUCUUAUAUAAAGUCCAGCACCUCCAUCGAGGCUCACACAGGGACAUAAACUCACAAAUAAAAAAAGAGGCCAUUAAAAACAAG